rnacentral:lncRNA from 1 species
GGCAGGGUGCUGCAUGUCCUGUCCUUCCACUGCAAUUAUUGCUCUUCUCUAGAUGUGACUUCAGUGAAUAACAAGUGUUAGAGUCACUGACACCUCAAACGUUCUUUGAAGAGACUAAAAGAUGGAAAGGUUAAAAAAAUAUGCAAUGUCUAACUAAUGUUGAUUAUGAAAAUUGAUUGUUUUUGCAUAACCCUUUCUGCUUAGGAGAAAAAUGAAGGCAGUGCCUUCUUCCAGUUUAAACUUCCCAGUUUUAACUCAAUAUUUGUAUCAGACUCAGCAGUGCUGACAACUGACUUGCUAACAGGUCUGAAAUAAAAUGAGGAUUUGCCACCUGACUGCAGAACUGGGAGCAGAUGGGAAUCAGUGAUCUGCUCCCCUCCUCCACUGGGAAUGCCACAGAAAAACUGGCUCUGGAGCAUGACUUGAACAUACUGACAAGAAAAGGCAAAGCCUAUAUUAUAUUGAUUUAUUUGGAACUAGAACUCCUCUGGCACUCAUACUGAACAGCCAGCAUAGCUCUGCAGCUGCACUGUUGAACAUCAACCUGAAUUCUUGGUCUUGUUAUGGAUUUGGAUAAUAUAUUUUCUUGCAUGGAGCCAUGUUUCUCCCUCAGUGAGAUUUGUCUCUCCAAAUUGGUUGGGAUUUCUUUUGUGUUUUAGAGUAACCUGAUUAAUUUAAUCCACACAGAGUCU